rnacentral:rRNA from 1 species
AUUGAACGCUGGCGGCAGGCCUAACACAUGCAAGUCGAACGAGUGGCGGACGGGUGGGUAAUGUCUGGGAAACUGCCUGAUGGAGGGGGAUAACUACUGGAAACGGUAGCUAAUACCGCAUACCAUCAGAUGUGCCCAGAUGGGAUUAGCUUGUUGGUUGGGUAACGGCUCACCAGGGCGACGAUCCCUAGCGGGUCUGAGAGGAUGACCAGCAAAAUUGGAACUGAGCAACGGUCCAGACUCCUACGGGAGGAAGCAGGGGGGAAUAUUGAACAAUGGGCGCAAGCCUGAGGCAGCCAUGCCGCGUGUAUGAAGAAGGCCUGCGGGUUGUAAAGUACUUUCAGCGGGGAGGCGUUACCAGCAGAAGAAGCACCGGCUAACUCCGUGCCAGCAGCCGCGGGAAAC